rnacentral:lncRNA from 1 species
AGGCCCCUCAGGAAAAGAACAGAUUUCCUUUCUACAGAUGCUUCCAAACUGUAAAUACGAGAAUGAAACAAGAACCCCGAAGGCCACGCUGGGGCCAGAUUUGCCCCAUACUGUGUAUGCAGCAUGGCUCCUGACUCCAGAAGAGAACACAGCUCGGUGGAAAAGUUUUGGAACAGGUGAAAUUAGUCCUUGGCCUUUGUCACCCUGUCCAACCCUUGUUCUAGUCCCAUGUGCUAGCGCUCACUUUCUUGCCCCAGGAACUCCAAAUUAGGCUAAUGGCCUCACUGCUGGUCCUUCUUUUAUUUCCUCCCUCCCAAAGUGCUGAGGCUCUAACCACCUAAAGGACCUUCCCCUGGUCCCAGUCGAAUUUCCAUCAUUCCCAUCAUCUGACAUUAACUAGGUUUAAAGAGGAAAGAAUUCUGUCUGUCCUUUGUUUGAAUUACUAAUAACCGAUAUGUAAUAGAUGCACGUUCUGCCUUAGAAUUCAGACCUCAAAAAGUACAGUGAAAUAAACUGAACAUUAUAGAUAAACAUAUGUUAAAAAUCCAGAAAGUUGAUAGGUCUUGAGAAAAAAAGGGAAGAAAAAGACCCUGGCUGGAAGAGAUGGGGCAGAGUGGCAGAGUGGCAGAGUGGCAGAGUAAACUGUGUUUGAGGAGAACCUUAGCAGGUGGUAUUUUAUUAGCCUGAAUGAGGAGGCUGGGCGCAAAGCCAUUCAACAUUCAACAUAUUGAAUGCCCACGAGAAACCUGGCACUGCUGUUUGAGGUUUCAACCUUGUCCGUUCCUUCUUGAAACUCAAAGGAAAAGAGAAAACAUAUAGUGCACCCUUGACAUACCAACUAGAUCGGUUCCAGAGGACUGAUCGUAACAAAGUCAAUACAGCUGAGAUCUGGCUGAUUGCCUGGGUAUGCUUUAUACAUAACAGGACAGAUGAGUCUGCCAUUAACCUAAUUAACCCAAGUUGUUUGUAGGUCAAGCCGGUCAUAACUUGAGGUCCACUAUAUUUCCUUUUGGAGAAAUAUUGGAGGCUUUUAAGCGUGGAGUAAAAGGGUGGAGUGGGAUUUGGGGAGAUCGUUUGGAAGCACCCAAGGAGGGCAAAGUGGGAAUGCAUGACUGAUUAAGAGUGUUAUGUGAAAGAUGGAGAUGUAAACCAAGACUACAGAAGGGCUGCACGAUCCGCAGCAACGUGAAAGGUGCUUCAGAUAGCUGGUGGUCAAAGCUGUCCCAGUGAGGACAGUGGUGCUUUUAAUAGCAAGAGGCCGCUGAGGAGGGGGACUGAGAAGUGGAGAGAGGAGCUUCAUUCGACAACAAAUUUAAGCCAAGGUACAAUUUCACUUUUCCCUCCAGUUGUAAAUGGGAGCAUCAAGAAACUAUGCAACAAUUGUCACAAUAUUUGUAGGCACAUUUCUCACUUAGGAAGAUAUUUUCAGGCCUGGUAGAACGGACCUUUUGGGGGAAUUUACAUUUAGAGAAACUGGACAGAACUAGUCCCCCACUUCUUGGAAAACUAGAAAGGAUGAUACCUUUGAUGAAUCACAAGUCAAGGCAGAAUAUGUUAAGGAGCAUCAUAAAAUGUAUAUGUGGGGUUUGGGGGGGUGUCAUGGCUUUUGUCUAGAUGUCCCCCAAAGCCUCAUGCAGUCACAGGUGGGCUUUUUUAGAGGUAGCUGGAUCUAGACUGUGUAAUGCUGGGAUUAAGGGUGUGAUGUUGGGAUCAAGGAUGUGUAAUUAUUGAAUUAGUCCACUGAUUGGUUUGGCAUAGUUCUGAGUAUGCAUAAUGGAAAAGCCCACCUUGGAUGUGAGUGCUACCCACCCUAAGGAUGUAUAGUCUAGAUAGACUACGAGGGACAAAAGAGGGCUACUGCAGUCACUUGCUGCUUGCGACUUUGCUGCCUUCUGACCACCAUGAACUGUUUCUUCUCUGCCAUGCCACUCUGCCUGGAGCUAGCUGACUAUGAACUGAAACCUCUACAAACUAAGCUACAAUAAACCUUUUUUCCUUUAAAUUGGGUGUUGGGUAUUUUAUCUCAACAAUGAAAAAAGUAACUAAGACAGAGGGUUGUUUGUUUUUGCAUUAUUGGGGAUUGAACUCUGGGCCUCAGCACUGAGUUAUAUCCCCAAACCUUUUUUAUUUUUGCCAAGUCACUAAGUUGCCCAGGCCGGGUUUGAAUUUGUGAUCCACCUGCCUCUGCCUCCUCCCAGUGUGCUGGGAUUACAAGCUAUUUAGGUGCCCACUAUGCCCAGCUGCAUAUGUACUUUUAAACUCUUUUCCUCUAAUUGUGCGGUAAAGACCUACUCUGAAGUAUUUAAAGAACUAGGGGAAAUGCACAUCUCAGUGGAAGAAAGAGCUCUCUUGUCCCUGGAUUCAUUCUGUUGUGAUUGUUUUACAAUGCACUGCUACACUAUAACUUUACAUAUGCAAGUAAGAGGCCCCACUUCUCAAUAACAGCAAUAUUUACAUCCUUUCUUGUUAACAUAAGAAGGUGCAAUUUGGAAAAUGUGUAGCUCCUAUACUAAAAGCUACAUUUAUUGAGUAAAGGCCAUUUCCACUCACACUGAGUAGAUCACAUUAUCACACUAAGUUAUCACAAUAAAGCAUUAUUUUAUUUCCAUUUGUUAAAUCAGGAAAGCAAGGCCCAGAGAAAGUAGGAAACCUUCCCGAGGCCCUGAAAGAAAUUCAAUGAGGAGAAUUAGAACCCAGAUAGGCUGGCUGCAGCACUAGCGUCUUAAUCAGUGAACCAAACUGCUUCUACAAUCAUGAGAACAUUUCUUAAGUAUUCAGCGAACAGAAACUAGAUAAAAGUAUCUAAAGAUCUUGUGUGUGUUCUUGAUUCUACAGCAUAUGGAAAACCAAGGUUCUGGAGUCCUCUGUACUUUAUUAUGCACUUUUCCUGCAUUCUUGAAAGCAGCCAGGGCAGACACUUGCUUGUGUUGCCAGAGAUUUAGGAAGCAAUAGGGUCUGUGGCUUUUCAAAUUUCCCUCUUCGGGUCAGUAUUUAAACUUCUCAGGGUAGGGCCUCUGCCAAGUAGGGAACUUCUUCAGGAUUCUUUCCCUGUGUUUUACUACUCUCCUCUGGUGUUCCUUAUGCAACCACUUUAACUAGCUAGAAUGGGUACUUUAACUCCAAAUCAAACUUCUCACCUUUUGUAGCAAACAGCAUCAUAAGCUAGUGAGACUUCUGUCCAGGAAGCAUCCACAGGGACUGACACAGAAGGGGUUCCUACGGUGAGUAGAGACAGGUUAUAAAACCC